rnacentral:rRNA from 1 species
GACGAACGCUGGCGGCGUGCCUAAUACAUGCAAGUCGAACGCAUUUUCUUUCACCGUAGCUUGCUACACCGAAAGAAAAUGAGUGGCGAACGGGUGAGUAACACGUGGGUAACCUGCCCAUCAGCGGGGGAUAACACUUGGAAACAGGUGCUAAUACCGCAUAAUUCCAUUUACUGCAUGGUAGAUGGAUGAAAGGCGCUUUUGCGCCACUGAUGGAUGGACCCGCGGUGCAUUAGCUAGUUGGUGGGGUAACGGCCUACCAAGGCUGCGAUGCAUAGCCGACCUGAGAGGGUGAUCGGCCACACUGGGACUGAGACACGGCCCAGACUCCUACGGGAGGCAGCAGUAGGGAAUCUUCGGCAAUGGACGCAAGUCUGACCGAGCAACGCCGCGUGAGUGAAGAAGGUUUUCGGAUCGUAAAACUCUGUUGUUAGAAAAGAACAAGGAUGAGAGUGGAAAGUUCAUCCCUUGACGGUAUCUAACCAGAAAGCCACGGCUAACUACGUG